CACGUAGGCGGAUAUUUAAGUCAGGGGUGAAAUCCCAGAGCUCAACUCUGGAACUGCCUUUGAUACUGGGUGUCUUGAGUAUGGAAGAGGUAAGUGGAAUUCCGAGUGUAGAGGUGAAAUUCGUAGAUAUUCGGAGGAACACCAGUGGCGAAGGCGGCUUACUGGUCCAUUACUGACGCUGAGGUGCGAAAGCGUGGGGAGCAAACA
rnacentral:rRNA from 1 species